GAAGCACGCCAGACCGCCGCUGGUGCAAGCUGGGAAACCAGGCACUGGAGGAAGGUCCGGACUGCACAGGACGGCGUAGCAGCUAACGGCUGUCCACCGUGAGGUGAGGAUCAGAGCAACAGAGACGAGUCUGGGCGACUGGGCAUUCCGGGGUGUUCUGCGACGUGUCAGCGCAAGCUGGCGCGUCGCAGCCGCCUUGGGUGCACAGCACCCAGGGUGAAACGGGCAAUCUCUACGCGCAGCAAUACCAAGUAGGCCAGCCUGAAGCCCUCGUGGCUUCGCCCUGUGGUUCCGCAGGGAGCGCUGGCGGGUAGGUAGCACCGAGCCGUGGUGGCGACACCCGGCCCAGAUUAAUGGCGGUCAGCUUCGGGCGACCGAAGCCACAGAAUCCGGCCUAUCGGCGUGCUUCACUU
rnacentral:RNase_P_RNA from 1 species